CCCGCUGAACUUAAGCAUAUCAGUAAGCGGAGGAAAAGAAACUAACCAGGAUUCCCCUAGUAACGGCGAGUGAAGCGGGAUUAGCCCAAUAUUAGAAGCUGGUCAGCCUAGCGCUGGUCCCGCAUUGUAUAUUGUUGGGACGUUACCUAGUAUUAAGCCUUUCGGUCAAAGUUCCUUGGAACAGGACGUCAAAGAGGGUGAGAACCCCGUGCGUGACCGAAUGACAUACCAGCUUAGUGCGACUACGGUGCGUCUCCUUAGAGUCGGAAUGUUUGGGAAUGCAUUCCAAAGCGGGUGGUAAACUCCAUCUAAGGCUAAAUACUGGCGAGAGACCGAUAGCGAACAAGUACCGUGAGGGAAAGUUGAAAAGCACUCUGGAGAGAGAGUCAAACAGUACGUGAAAUUGCUAGCAGGGAAACGUUGGGCGCCAGUACACGGCUAUUAAUGUCGAUGAUCAGCCGGGCGUUUUUUGGUAUGCAGUCGUGGUGUUUACACUUUGGAGAUUGUCCUAGGAUGACUCACGCGAUUGUAUUAUCGAUUUACACCGGUGCACUCUUCGGCAGCCGGGUCAGCAUCGGUUAACGAUGUCCGAAAAGCUGCGUUGGCAAGGUAAUCACGAUUGCUUCGGUAAUCAUGAGACUUAUAGGCCAGUGUCGGCGAGGAUGUUGUUGACCGAGGAAAGCGAUUCGUGCGUUUCGGCGCUGGGCGUUAUGGUUUGGUCAAGGCUGCCCGUGGCGUUAGACAACUUGUUGACUAGCGUUUACUUUGUCAAGCUUCGGCCUGGCAGCGGCGGUCGCCAAAUUAUAACAAGCCACUAACGAGUCUAUGAUUGCUGACGGAAUGGUUCUCAACGACCCGUCUUGAAACACGG
rnacentral:rRNA from 1 species